AUACCGGCAGCUCAAGUGGUAGCCGCGAUUAUUGGGCCUAAAACGUUCGUAGCCGGAUAAGUAAGUCUUUGGUUAAAUCCUGCGACUUAACCGUGGGAAAUCUAGAGAUACUGCUUGUCUUGAGACCGGGAGAGGUUGGAGGUACUCCUAGGGUAGGGGUGAAAUCCUGUAAUCCUAGGGGGACUACCUGUGGCGAAGGCGUCCAACUGGAACGGGUCUGACGGUGAGGGACGAAACCUAGGGGAGCGAGCCGGAUUAGAUACUCGGGUAGUCCUAGGCGUAAAUGAUGCGAGUUAAGUGUGGGGGCAUCUACGAGAUGGCCCUGUGCUGUAGGGUAGCCGUUAAACUCGCUGCCUGGGGAGUACGGUCGCAAGGCUGAA
rnacentral:rRNA from 1 species